UACGUAGGGUCCGAGCGUUGUCCGGAUUUAUUGGGCGUAAAGAGCUCGUAGGCGGCUCAGUAAGUCGGAUGUGAAAACUCAGGGCUCAACCCUGAGACGCCAUCCGAUACUGCUGUGGCUUGAGUCUGGUAGGGGAGAACGGAAUUCCAGGUGUAGCGGUGAAAUGCGCAGAUAUCUGGAGGAACACCGAUGGCGAAGGCAGUUCUCUGGGCCAGUACUGACGCUGAGGAGCGAAAGCGUGGGGAGCAAACAGG
rnacentral:rRNA from 2 species